AUGAAUGAAUGAAUCCCUACUCCAAUGUGCAGUGCUGGGAUAACGAGUUAUUUACUGAUGGCUUAGCAGAUGCCAGGAACUCCUGCAAAUACUAGUACUUCACAGGCAUCAUUUUCAUGUAACUGUUACAGUCACCCAGCGAGAGAGGUGCUAUUAGGAUCCCCAUCGUGAGGGGAGACACUGAUGGGGGCACAGAGAGGGUAGGUGACUUGUCAGUGGUCACCCACGACUCAGCAGCAGCGCUGGAAGAGGACACAGGACGGCCAAGUGGGGCAGUCCAGCUUCAGUGUCCAUCUUCCUAAGCUCUAGGUGAUGUUGCCCAGUAACCCCAAGACCUGGUGAGGUGGCUGCUGAGGGGGCCAAGCACUGAUGGCUACGUGGACUACACAGUCUCAAUCACCAAGGAUCAUCUUCCAUUCCAGCCCAGGAUUUCCUUAGCAGCUUCUGCCAGGAAGAGGGGGGAAGGGGGAUCCCAACCACGCCCCUACCCCAGGUCCCCGCCCGAGGGCAGCAGGGACUUUAAGCCUGCACAGUCUCUCAGUCUCAGGGGCCAUCCAGAGACUCACAGGGUUAUGCGGCUGCAGAGGCCGCCGUGCCCCUCCCCAGAGGCCGCUGGCCCCUGCUCACCUCCUCCAGGGUCAGAGGCCUCCCUGCCUGCCUUGGCAGCCCAUUCGGUCUUAGGAUGUCUCCUCUGCCGGAAGAGCCUUCUGACACUGAGCCCCAAACAUUCUCUUCCUCCUACUCAUUGGUCCACAGAAUAAGCUCACUCCUUCAGAUGCCCAGAGCCAGCCUCCCACGCCCCACCCUCAGCUCCGUUAGGAGUUAUGGUCUCCCGUGACUAUGUCCCAUCUCCCCUCACCAUCCCAGCCUCUAGGUUCUCCCAAAAAAGGCAAGGACAGCUCUCAACCAGCCUCCACACCAGGCCUCCCCGACGGCCCAGAUGCACAGAGGGAACGUGGUCUUCACCCUGCCAGGUGGAGAGGCCCGAGAGGACAGGACGAGGCAGACAGAGCGCCCGCCUCAGAGCCAACCCCAGGGGGCGGGGUGGGCACAGGGGAACUGCCCUCUGGCCCACAGCCUAGGGCCGGGAUUUGGCCCUUCCUCCCCCACCUUCCAGGUCAGCCUUAGGCCCCAUUGGACUCCGGACCACAUGGGGAAGGACCUACGCGGGCCUCUAGCUGAAACCAUGGUGAGCCAAGAGUGUCAGCACCUGAGACCUUGGGGCGCAGGGACCUGGGAGUGAGCAGGGUGGGUCUGCCCCGCUCCAGGGCCUGGGGCUCCACUGAGCCAGCUCUGCCGCCGCCACUCCCUUGGAGCCAAUUCCCCGAGGUCGACUCACCAGUUCACGCUUCCCCACCCGCCUCUGGCAUCUCCUACCCAAGACCCGUGCAGCUUCCACAGACCCCUGGCGUCGCGGGGCUAAGAAAGCCGCGCCUCGGACACUAAGCCUGGCAUGUCCAAGCUCUGCGCAUACAGGUCUGAGCCCCUGCAGCCCUCCUCCGAACCCGGCAGGUGCGUGGAGAGAAGGCAUGCGAGAAGAGGGAAAUCGGUGCCCAUUUAACGCAAGAGGCAUGCCCAGCUGAGGGAAGCCAAGCAAUGUGAGAAGGAAGUCGUAAGAAGAGCAAAACCAAGACUGAAGAUUUAAAAUGAAGACUUUAGGAACCAUUAGCGAGAGGUCUAGGGGGGGAAAAAAGGCUUUAACAAAAAAGUUUGAAAGCAAUGAUGAAGGGGUUGGGGAGUUGCCAGGAGAUUAGCUUGGCGAGGGACUUGUAAGCUGUGAUGAGUACAGGAGAUCCAGUUAUCCAGUUAUUUGAUGGGGCACUGAAAUAAAACUUCCUUUAAUGUCUCCUG